GGGGUCCACAAUCCGGUCGGAAUUAUUACUAUUGUUCCCAUUAGACGGCGUCGUUUGCUGGGAAUAUUCCGAUUCACUUGGGCUCUGCUCCUCAUCGGCGUCCAUCUUCGUCACCAUUUUCCUUUCCUGCUGGCCGAAGCCGCCGCCGCCGGGAGUAGCUUCCUUCUCGUCGUUAAUGCUGUUGUGAUCGGAAGGAGAGGAAGGGUUGGAAGACGAGGCAGGAUUGCCACCGCCUCCGGCGGCAAUGCUGUUCGACAUGUCGUCGACGGAGAACAUUGACAUGAACUGCUCGUCGUCGAAUCUCUCGAAAUCUCGGUGGUG
rnacentral:lncRNA from 1 species